rfam:Deltaproteobacteria bacterium DG_8 WOR1_52_54_34418, whole genome shotgun sequence.
AGCUGGGUCCUGCGCAACGGAAAUUUACAAAUCCCGUCAGGUCCGGAAGGAAGCAGCGGUAGUAAAAUCCUCCGUGUGCCGCAGGGUAGCCUAGCUAUC